rnacentral:rRNA from 1 species
UACGUAGGGUGCAAGCGUUGUCCGGAAUUAUUGGGCGUAAAGAGCUUGUAGGCGGUUUGUCGCGUCUGCUGUGAAAUUUCGGGGCUCAACCCCGAACUUGCAGUGGGUACGGGCAGACUAGAGUGUGGUAGGGGAGACUGGAAUUCCUGGUGUAGCGGUGGAAUGCGCAGAUAUCAGGAGGAACACCGGUGGCGAAGGCGGGUCUCUGGGCCGUAACUGACGCUGAGGAGCGAAAGCAUGGGGAGCGAACAGG